rnacentral:rRNA from 1 species
AUUGAACGCUGGCGGCAUGCCUUACACAUGCAAGUCGAACGGCAGCUCGGGAGCAAUCCUGGUGGCGAGUGGCGAACGGGUGAGUAAUAUAUCGGAACGUGCCCAGUCGUGGGGGAUAACGUAGCGAAAGCUACGCUAAUACCGCAUACGAUCUACGGAUGAAAGCGGGGGAUCGCAAGACCUCGCGCGAUUGGAGCGGCCGAUAUCAGAUUAGGUAGUUGGUGAGGUAAAGGCUCACCAAGCCGACGACCUGUAGCUGGUCUGAGAGGACGACCAGCCACACUGGGACUGAGACACGGCCCAGACUCCUACGGGAGGCAGCAGUGGGGAAUUUUGGACAAUGGGCGCAAGCCUGAUCCAGCAAUGCCGCGUGCAGGAUGAAGGCCUUCGGGUUGUAAACUGCUUUUGUACGGAACGAAACGGCGAGCUCUAAUACAGUUUGCUAAUGACGGUACCGUAAGAAUAAGCACCGGCUAACUACGUGCCAGCCGCCGCGGUAA